rnacentral:rRNA from 1 species
CCUUGUACCACACCGCCCCGUCACACCAUGGAAGUUGGUUGCACCAGAAGUAGGUAGCUUAACCUUCGGGAGGGCGCUUACCACGGUGUGGCUAAUGACUGGGGUG